AGAGGGGCCCCCCCCCACCCCCGGAGGAGGCCAGGGGCGCCCGGCUGCAGGCCUGAAGCCAACCGGGCCGUGCGGGGUGCAUUCCGUGCCUGAGAAACGCCAAGGAGCUGAGCCCCCCAGAGGGCUUGAGUCAUCCCCAAAAGGAAAGGGCCAUGGGGUCCGGGAAGGAGAGAGGGCAGGAGGCGCUCACCUGGACUCCCAGUCCAGCUGCCCUGGCCAAGAAGUUUGUGAGCCGGAGAAGCCUCCAGUCCCUCUCCCCCGACUGUCCUCCUGCCCAGGGUUUAUUUAUUUAUGCUAUUUCUACACCGCAUGUGGGGCUUAGACUCACAACCCUGUGAUCCAGGGUUGCACGCUGUCCCGACGCAGCCAGCUGGGCACCACCAGUCAAGGCACACUUCAUGCGGUCAGCGGCUGCUGCGGCUACUGUGCCGGCAGUCGUUGGGAGUUUCUCGAUCGACCCAGGGCUCCAGGUCCUUGGGGGGCAGCUCACUGAGACCCGUUAUCUGAGCACUAUACCUCGCUCUCCGUGGUGCAUGCGCAGCCACGUUUGGGGGUGCUAAGGGAUACAGCUUGAUGGGAGCCACAGUAGCCUCUACUGGAUCUCGAGGACCGCUGAUCCCUACCUCACACCGCCCCCCUGCCGGGGACGUACUGGGGAUGUGUCUCCCAGAUUCUACUACCACAAAGAAUACAACUUCUCCAAAGAAGUUACUCUGCUGUAUUUGGGCUAAGCGUCAGUAAGACCACCACCGGUUUCUGGGGUCUCUGUCCCAUCUGGCUCACAGGUGCUCAGGCCAGGGUGAACUCCUGCUUCGAAGGAAGACCACCGCCCAGCCUCGCGCCUGUCUCAAGCAAGUGAUGAGCUGGGCCGUUUGAGCGUACCCCCCUGCAGCCCGGACUCAGCAGCUUUGCUGGUGGAGGCUCCAGAAGCCUGAAGUCAUGCAGACUUCAGGGAGAGACGUUGUCUGGGGCCAACUGCAAAGGGAGACAGGGCAGCGUAGGGGGAAGCGCAGGCAGAGACCCCAAGAACGGAGAGCAUGGGCCGGCGGAGCCCCCGCAGGCCUCUCCCCUUCCGAGCCGGGGCAUUCCACACUCUGACUUCCGUGCACCUUCGUCCUUCCAGUAACCAACUCGUCCUGCCUCUGUUUACCGGCUGCAAAGUCACACACAGCCACGCAGAUCAGAAAAAAGAGUCUAUAAAGAGCAGACCGGGGGCCGCCAGGACGGGUGGGGGAUGGGAACUGACCGCUUAAUGGACAUGGGGUUUCCUUUUGAGGGGAUGGGAAUGUUCUGGAACUAGAUCAUGGUGAUGCUGCCCAACCGUGUGAAUGUGCUAAGUGUUACUGAUGGUGAAUUUCAUGUUCUGGGCGCCAUAAAAACAGACCAUGAAAACUA